GCCCGGGUAGCUCAGUUGGUUAGAGCGUGGGACUUUUAUGACUCUUUGCAAAAAGCACGUCGGACAUCCCAAUGUCGAGGGUUCGAGCCCCUCUUCGGGCG